rnacentral:rRNA from 1 species
ACUAAGUGAGCUACUUCGAGGCAGUUUUAAGAACGAACCCAUCUCUGUUGCAAAAGAGUGGGAUGACCCCCAAGUAGCGGCGACAAACCUACCGCACUUAGAGAUAGCUGGUUACUCAAGAAAAGAAUUUAAGUUCAACCUAAAGUUUUGUAAUUAAACAAAAAUACAAUAAAACUUUAGAGCUAUUCAAGUAAGGCACAGCUUAUUUGAAACAGGACUCAACCUACAACAUAGGGUAAUAUUAACAAACAAGUAUCAAGUGGGCCUAAGAGCAGCCACCUACAUAAAAGCGUUAAAGCUUAAUACUCAAGUUAAACUAAUAACACCACCACCCAAGAACCCCUCACUAAUAUUAAGUAACUCCAUAAAUUUAUGGAAGCUAUUAUGCUAGAACUAGUAACAAGAAAUAGCUUUCUCCUAAAUGUAAGCCUAAGCCCCCAAUAGACUAACUACUGGCAAUUAACGAAUAUGAA